rnacentral:lncRNA from 1 species
UGGUCCAACGGUUGGACAAGGUAUUCCUCAGGUCACUCACAGCCACACGAAGUCAUCUGGGCUCUAUAAGAAAAUUCAUACGAAGACUGGCACAGAUCAAGGACUUGAAAGUGCUAGCCUGCAAAUAACUUUGACGACUGAUCUCUUUCUUUUUCUUCAAACACCUUGGACACUCCAAAAGAUGAAGGGAUCUAGAGGAGGAAGA